rnacentral:rRNA from 1 species
UACGUAGGGGGCAAGCGUUGUCCGGAAUGAUUGGGCGUAAAGCGUCCGCAGGUGGCUGUGUAAGUCUGCUGUUAAAGAGUGAGGCUCAACCUCAUAAAGGCAGUGGAAACUACAUGGCUAGAGUGCGUUCGGGGCAGAGGGAAUUCCUGGUGUAGCGGUGAAAUGCGUAGAUAUUCGGAAGGAACGCCCGCGGCGAAAGCGCGGUCCUGGACCCCACCUGACGCUGAGACGCGAAAGCCAGGGGAGCGAACGGG